GUGGUUGUGGCUCAGUGGUACAGCACUUGCCUUGUAUGUGUGAGACACUGGGUUCAAUUCUCAGCACCACA
rnacentral:tRNA from 1 species